rnacentral:rRNA from 1 species
UACGUAGAAGACUAGUGUUAUUCAUCUUUAGUAGGUUUAAAGGGUACCUAGACGGUAUAAUUAGUCUUUAAUAGGAAACGGUUAUACUAGAGUUAUAUAUGAGGAGGUGAGUAUUUUGUGGAGUAGAGUUGAAAUUCUUUGAUACCAUACGACUGGUAAAGGCGAAAGCAACCUUUUAUCUAAUAACUGACGUUGAGGGACGAAGGCUCGGGUCGCGAACAGG